rnacentral:rRNA from 1 species
UACGAAGGGGGCUAGCGUUGCUCGGAAUCACUGGGCGUAAAGCGCACGUAGGCGGAUUGCUAAGUCAGGGGUGAAAUCCCGGGGCUCAACCUCGGGACUGCCUUUGAUACAGCACGUCUCGAGUCCGGAAGAGGUGGGUGGAAUUCCUAGUGUAGAGGUGAAAUUCGUAGAUAUUAGGAAGAACACCGGUGGCGAAGGCGGCCCACUGGUCCGGUACUGACGCUGAGGUGCGAAAGCGUGGGGAGCAAACAGG